UUCUCAAAAAAAGAGGGGAAGCAGAACCAAUUCAAGAUGAUAUGGGUCGCCCCUUCUUCUUGCGCCAAAGAUCUUACCAUUUCCGAAGGAACUGGGGCUACAUUUCUUUUCAAUUUCCAUUCAAGAGUUUCUAUCUGUUUCCACGCCCUGACAUGA
rnacentral:rRNA from 1 species